AUCUGCAGUAGGACGGGGGAGUUGGAGCCCUGGUCAGGCCACUCUGCUACUGACCACAGUUUUCUCAUCUCUAAAAAGGCGCAGUAACAAUAUAAUUACCGUAUGCAGUCCCCCAGGAUACAGGGUCAAAGGAGAGCACAACCAUCGCAGUUGGAAGCCCAUGGGGCAGCAGGGCCCAGGACACAGUGAGCAUACAAUAGACAUUAGCUGCUGUGGUGUCUUGAUUUCAAGCCCAGUGCAGAUGCAUCUGACUUACGAAACUUCAGUGACACCUGCUCUGUGCCAGACACUGAAGAUGGAGCAGUGAACAGCACUGACCCAGCCUGUCCUCCUGUUGCCUGCAGGCCAGAAGCAAGGUCUCGCUGUGUUACCCUGGCUGGAGUGCAGUGGCUACUUACAGGCAUGAUCAUAGCAUACUGCAGCCUCGAACUCCUGGACUAGAGCAGUUCUCCUGCCUCAGCCUCCAGAGCAGCUGGGACUGCAGACACGCACCACAGAGCCCAGCCUGAGUCAUUUUGAUUCUGUAACUGGCUUCCUCUCGGCGGGCAGGCUCACACCCUCCACCCCCAGCUGGAGAUGGAAGGAGGAUGCUCACCGCCCAUUCCUCAUGCAGGCCAUCGAUGGAAAUGUCAGACAGUGCGAGUCCACGCCUGAACACUUCUGGGGUCCGCUCUGGGACUGACACUGGCAGAUCCAUCGAUGCCGUUCCAUUGUUUGCUGACUUUCAUUGAUUCUAUGAGAAGUCUGCAGUCUUUUGCAGCGUUGUUUUCCUAUGUAUAAUUGUCUCCUCCCACCCCACUCACCCCAGCUGCUUUCCACAUUCUCUCUCUUUGAUUUUCAGCAGUCUGCCCAUGAUGUGCCUAAAUAGGACUUUCUUUGCAUUCAUCUUGGCUGGGGCUCACUGAACUUUCUGAAUCUGUAGAUUAAUUUUCUUUUUUCAAUAAACCUUGGAAUAUUUUCAG
rnacentral:lncRNA from 1 species